rnacentral:rRNA from 1 species
AUUGAACGCUGGCGGCAUGCUUUACACAUGCAAGUCGAACGGUAACAGGUUAAGCUGACGAGUGGCGAACGGGUGAGUAAUGCAUCGGAACGUGCCCGGUCGUGGGGGAUAACGCAGCGAAAGCUGCGCUAAUACCGCAUACGAUCUGAGGAUGAAAGCGGGGGACGGUAAGGCCUAGCGCGAUCGGAGCGGCCGAUGUCAGAUUAGGUAGUUGGUGGGGUAAAGGCUCACCAAGCCAACGAUCUGUAGCUGGUCUGAGAGGACGACCAGCCACACUGGGACUGAGACACGGCCCAGACUCCUACGGGAGGCAGCAGUGGGGAAUUUUGGACAAUGGGCGAAAGCCUGAUCCAGCAAUGCCGCGUGCAGGAAGAAGGCCUUCGGGUUGUAAACUGCUUUUGUACGGAGCGAAAAGGUCUCCUCUAAUACAGGGGGCUCAUGACGGUACCGUAAGAAUAAGCACCGGCUAACUACGUGCCAGCCGCCGCAGUAA